rnacentral:rRNA from 1 species
CAAGCAAGUCGACGGAAAGGCCUGCAGCUUGCUGCGGGUACUCGAGUGGCGAACGGGUGAGUAACACGUGGGUGAUCUGCCUUGCACUUCGGGAUAAGCUUGGGAAACUGGGUCUAAUACCGGAUAGGACAGCUGUUUAGUGUCAGUUGUGGAAAGUUUUUUCGGUGCAAGAUGAGCUCGCGGCCUAUCAGCUUGUUGGUGGGGUAAUGGCCUACCAAGGCGUCGACGGGUAGCCGGCCUGAGAGGGUGUACGGCCACAUUGGGACUGAGAUACGGCCCAGACUCCUACGGGAGGCAGCAGUGGGGAAUAUUGCACAAUGGGCGGAAGCCUGAUGCAGCGACGCCGCGUGGGGGAUGAAGGCCUUCGGGUUGUAAACUCCUUUCGACAGGGACGAAGCGUAAGUGACGGUACCUGUAUAAGAAGCACCGGCUAACUACGUGCCAGCAGCCGCGGUAAUACGUAGGGUGCGAGCGUUGUCCGGAAUUACUGGGCGUAAAGAGCUCGUGGGUGGUUUGUCGCGUCGUCUGUGAAAUUCCGGGGCUUAACUCCGGGUGUGCAGGCGAUACGGGCUGACUUGAGUGCUGUAGGGGAGACUGGAAUUCCUGGUGUAGCGGUGAAAUGCGCAGAUAUCAGGAGGAACACCGAUGGCGAAGGCAGGUCUCUGGGCAGUAACUGACGCCGAGGAGCGAAAGCAUGGGUAGCGAACAGGAUUAGAUACCCUGGUAGUCCAUGCCGUAAACGGUGGGCGCUAGGUGUAGGGGGCUUCCACGUCUUCUGUGCCGUAGCUAACGCAUUAAGCGCCCCGCCUGGGGAGUACGCCGCAAGGCUA